rnacentral:rRNA from 1 species
AACGAACGCUGGCGGCAGGCCUAACACAUGCAAGUCGAACGCUCCGCAAGGAGAGUGGCAGACGGGUGAGUAACACGUGGGAAUCUUCCUAUCGGUACGGAAUAGCUCAGGGAAACUUGAGGUAAUACCGCAUACGCCCUUCGGGGGAAAGAUUUAUCGCCGAUAGAUGAGCCCGCGUCUGAUUAGCUAGUUGGUGGGGUAAUGGCCUACCAAGGCGAAGAUCAGUAGCUGGUCUGAGAGGAUGACCAGCCACACUGGGACUGAGACACGGCCCAGACUCCUACGGGAGGCAGCAGUGGGGAAUAUUGGACAAUGGGCGCAAGCCUGAUCCAGCCAUGCCGCGUGAGUGACGAAGGUCUUCGGAUUGUAAAGCUCUUUUGCCAGGGACGAUAAUGACGGUACCUGGAGAAUAAGCCCCGGCUAACUUCGUGCCAGCCGCCGCGGUAACAC